rnacentral:rRNA from 1 species
GAUGAACGCUAGCGGCAGGCCUAAUACAUGCAAGUCGGACGGGAUUCAGGAGCUUGCUUCUGAUGAGAGUGGCGCACGGGUGCGUAACACGUAUGUAACCUACCUUUAUCAGGGGGAUAGCCUCUCGAAAGAGAGAUUAAGCCCGCAUAAAAUCACAGCACAGCAUUGUGUAAUGAUCAAAUAUUUAUAGGAUAAAGAUGGGCAUGCGGAGCAUUAGCUAGAUGGCGGGGUAACGGCCCACCAUGGCGACGAUGUUUAGGGGAUCUGAGAGGAUGGCCCCCCACACUGGUACUGAGACACGGACCAGACUCCUACGGGAGGCAGCAGUAAGGAAUAUUGGUCAAUGGGCGGAAGCCUGAACCAGCCAUGCCGCGUGCAGGAAGACGGCCCUACGGGUUGUAAACUGCUUUUAUACGGGAAUAAACCCAGAUACGUGUAUCUGGCUGAAUGUACUGUAAGAAUAAGGAUCGGCUAACUCCGUG